rnacentral:rRNA from 1 species
GGAAUAUUGGACAAUGGGUGAGAGCCUGAUCCAGCCAUCCCGCGUGAAGGAUGACGGUCCUAUGGAUUGUAAACUUCUUUUGUAUAGGAAUAAACCUCUCUACGUGUAGAGAGCUGAAGGUACUAUACGAAUAAGCACCGGCUAACUCCGUGCCAGCAGCCGCGGUAAUACGGAGGGUGCAAGCGUUAUCCGGAUUUAUUGGGUUUAAAGGGUCCGUAGGCGGACCGAUAAGUCAGUGGUGAAAUCUCAUAGCUUAACUAUGAAACUGCCAUUGAUACUGUCGGUCUUGAGUAAAUUAGAGGUAGCUGGAAUAAGUAGUGUAGCGGUGAAAUGCAUAGAUAUUACUUAGAACACCAAUUGCGAAGGCAGGUUACCAUGAUUUAACUGACGCUGAGGGACGAAAGCGUGGGUAGCGAACAGGAUUAGAUACCCUGG